ACGAACGCUGGCGGCGUGCCUAAUACAUGCAAGUAGCACGCUGAAGCUUGGUGCUUGCACCGAGCGGAUGAGUUGCGAACGGGUGAGUAACGCGUAGGUAACCUGCCUGGUAGCGGGGGAUAACUAUUGGAAACGAUAGCUAAUACCGCAUAAUAGUAGAUGUUGCAUGACAUUUGCUUAAAAGGUGCAAUUGCAUCACUACCAGAUGGACCUGCGUUGUAUUAGCUAGUUGGUGAGGUAACGGCUCACCAAGGCAACGAUACAUAGCCGACCUGAGAGGGUGAUCGGCCACACUGGGACUGAGACACGGCCCAGACUCCUACGGGAGGCAGCAGUAGGGAAUCUUCGGCAAUGGACGGAAGUCUGACCGAGCAACGCCGCGUGAGUGAAGAAGGUUUUCGGAUCGUAAAGCUCUGUUGUAAGAGAAGAACGAGUGUGAGAGUGGAAAGUUCACACUGUGACGGUAUCUUACCAGAAAGGGACGGCUAACUACGUG
rnacentral:rRNA from 1 species